GACGAACGCUGGCGGCGUGCUUAACACAUGCAAGUCGAACGGAAAGGCCCUGCUUUUGUGGGGUGCUCGAGUGGCGAACGGGUGAGUAACACGUGAGUAACCUGCCCUUGACUUUGGGAUAACUUCAGGAAACUGGGGCUAAUACCGGAUAGGAGCUCCUGCUGCAUGGUGGGGGUUGGAAAGUUUCGGCGGUUGGGGAUGGACUCGCGGCUUAUCAGCUUGUUGGUGGGGUAGUGGCUUACCAAGGCUUUGACGGGUAGCCGGCCUGAGAGGGUGACCGGCCACAUUGGGACUGGGAUACGGCCCAGACUCCUACGGGAGGCAGCAGUGGGGAAUAUUGCACAAUGGGCGGAAGCCUGAUGCAGCAACGCCGCGUGCGGGAUGACGGCCUUCGGGUUGUAAACCGCUUUCGCCUGUGACGAAGCGUGAGUGACGGUAAUGGGUAAAGAAGCACCGGCUAACUAUGUG
rnacentral:rRNA from 1 species